rnacentral:misc_RNA from 1 species
UGUCCCUAGAAAGUGUUAAUUUUGCUUUGCCUCUCUUAAAAAGGAGGCCGAGCAAACACUAUAACUGAGUUCGUUAUCCCCUCAUCAAGCGAAAACAAGUGCGAUGAGACGGGAUCACGAUCUCAAGUUGGGCCCUUGGAUGCAGAAUGCUGUGUGGGGGGCGACAUGAAUCUGUCGCACACCCAAACUAGCGUUGUACGCUAACAAUGGAUGACAUUCGAGUGCGACUUGACCCUUUCUUAAUUGAGAGGCUUCAUGCGUGCCGAUGUCGACCGAGGAGUGCUACCUGGUUGAUCCUG